CAAUGACAUUGUUUUUCACAAGUUAUAAACAGCUGUUUUUAGUUAUAAUUCGAUGUUACAUAAUGUAUGCAUAUUGGAUAAAACCCAGAUGAUUACAAAUACCGAAAUCUUGGACAAUUAACAAGGUCAUUCCAGAAUCCUUAUCAUGUCAUGUCAUGUAAAUAUCCUUUUCCAGGAACAUAACAAAAUCAUGUUCCAAUAACAUUUCCCAUAAAUAGAUAAGUUUUAUUUCCGAGAAUUGGAGAUACAAUUCCAAAUUUAUUCUUGGGUCAAAUUAACCCUUAUAUGAACAGCUAGGAUAUUGAGCAUAAUGGAUAUUCGCAUCUACAAUUCCCCUCUUAGAUCAUAUCAUGAUCUACCUUACGGAAUAUCCAUGGGAGGCCUGCGGCAGAGAAACCAAAGGAGGUAUAUUCAGACGUGCUAAUCACGUCUGCGGGACUUUCAUUAUUUCUUCACCUCGAUUUCCCCCAUUUGCUCUGUGCCGUAGGUUUUCCCUUUAAGAGGAGAUCGAGCUGUCGAUUUUCAGCUUUUGUAAUCAUCUGUUGUACACAUCUUUUAAGUGUACAAGUUAAAAAUUUCAAACAGCUGACAUCUUAACCAAUUUUAAACAUACUGCACAUCAUGUUAUCUGUAACUUGAGCCUUGGAUCAAAACAGGCAAAGUGUAUUAUUCCCAACAACGGGAAUAUUAUUAUUAUAAUUCACAACGUAAACACAUAUAAUCAAAAAUGGGAAUAAAAUCUAUUUCCCCUAUUUGGACCAGGGUCUUGGAUUACCAGUCCACCCAGUGAACUUGGG